rnacentral:misc_RNA from 1 species
AACGCAUAUUGCGCCCUCUGGUAUUCCGGGGGGCAUGCCUGUCCGAGCGUCAUUACUACCUUCAAGCACGGCUUGUGCGUUGAGCAUUUUGUUCCGUUUUCAGUGAACAAGGCUUGAAAUGCAGUGGCGAUGCCUUAAAUUGGUUGCCUGAACGUAUAGGGCUAUGUCACACGUUCUUGUGGCUCCAGUUGUGCAUCUUGUUCCAACUUCUAAAAAAAUCUCGAAUUGACCUCGGAUCAGGUAGGAAUACCCGCUGAACUUAA